UACGAAGGGGGCUAGCGUUGCUCGGAAUCACUGGGCGUAAAGGGUGCGUAGGCGGGUCUUUAAGUCAGGGGUGAAAUCCUGGAGCUCAACUCCAGAACUGCCUUUGAUACUGAGGAUCUUGAGUACGGGAGAGGUGAGUGGAACUGCGAGUGUAGAGGUGAAAUUCGUAGAUAUUCGCAAGAACACCAGUGGCGAAGGCGGCUCACUGGCCCGGUACUGACGCUGGAGGCACGAAAGCGUGGGGAGCAAACAGGAUUAGAAUACCCUUG
rnacentral:rRNA from 1 species